CCUCCCUUUCUUGGCAGGAUUGGGUUUUCCUGUACCCGUUUCUGUAAUGUGCGGAGGUAAAAAAAUACUACCCACCGUCUUGUCUUCGGUGCCAGCGGUUUUCCCAUCCGCUGGUUCUAUCCUCAAAUGCCGGGACAUGG
rnacentral:snoRNA from 1 species